rnacentral:lncRNA from 1 species
UAAAAGACAAAAACAAAAGUAUCAAAACACUACAAAAGCAAAACCGAAGUAACUUUUUGGGUAGAAAAUGUAGUUUCCACAGAGCACACAAGACAUUUACACAUAGACCUAUAGAUAUCUUUUUUAUAUGUUUGUAGUCUCAUUGACAUCCAUACCUCUGUGUACUUGAAUUAUUGUUUACAAUGUAAGGGGAAUAACUCUAAUUUACAUACAUGACAUACAAGAAAAUUAAAUAAAUUUUUAACUUUUU